rnacentral:rRNA from 1 species
UACGUAGGGUGCGAGCGUUGUCCGGAAUUAUUGGGCGUAAAGAGCUCGUAGGCGGCUUGUCGCGUCGGAUGUGAAAGCUCGGGGCUUAACUCCGGGUCUGCAUUCGAUACGGGCAGGCUAGAGUUCGGUAGGGGAGAUCGGAAUUCCUGGUGUAGCGGUGAAAUGCGCAAAUAUCAGGAGGAACACCGGUGGCGAAGGCGGAUCUCUGGGCCGAUACUGACGCUGAGGAGCGAAAGCGUGGGGAGCGAACAGG